rnacentral:rRNA from 1 species
AUGCUCCGCCUGCCCGACAUCGGCGGCUCCAGGAGGACCCUCGUCUUCCACCACAUGGGUCUCCUCACGCAGGCGGAUGCCGGGCUCGGGAACGGGCCGCCUGACAGGUUCGCCGUCGCCGAGCUCAUCUUCGAUGGCGCCGCCUUCGAGCGGUUUCUCUCGGAUGAAGGGGAGUGGAGGACGGUGAUGGGCGUACCGCGCGGACCGCUGCUCCGGCGCCAGAUGGAGGUGAACCAGGAGACGGUUGCCUUCGGCGGCCGCCUGUGGUGGGUCGACCUCACCUUUGGCGCCAUGUCCGUUGACCCGUUCGGCGACUGGCCGGAGACCCGCUUCGUGGAGCUGCCCAGCGGCAGCGUGCUCCCUGCGCGCGCAAGUACAAAUGACGGAGAUUUUAGGGAGCUCGAGGACAAGGUGAUGUUCAAGGAGGAGGUGGCCAAGCACCGGCGCAUCGGCGUAAGCGAGGGGCGACUGCGCUACGCCGAGGUCUCUCCUCACGACCCGUUCCUGCUCAGUUCCUUUGCGCUCGACGGCGACGAGGGCAGCGGCUGGACACUGGAGCACCAGGUGGCCCUCAGGCAGGUCUUGGCGGAUGGAGGCUACCCAUGGCAGGAGAACUCAACGCAGGCGGCGCCACAGAUCGCGGUGCUUGACCCGCUCAACGCCAAUGCCAUCUACCUCAAGGUCGGCGAGCACGUCGUGGUGGUGGACAUGCACAACGGCAAGGUGACAGGGGCCUCUCCGCUUGAAGAGGAGUACCUGUACCUUUCUCUUGUACCAUGUGUGCUUCCACCAUGGCUUGGAUCAAGCCGGAUCCCUACCCCAGGUAUGCAAUCAAGACUGCCAAUUUCCCUUUAUGCUUCAGUUUUGCUUGAGUUGUUUUGUGUUUAG